rnacentral:misc_RNA from 1 species
AAGUCGUAACAAGGUUUCCGUAGGUGAACCUGCGGAAGGAUCAUUAACACGUUUCGUUCCGAACGUUUUUGACCACUUCUUAUUUUCCGUGCACCAUUUCGCGUCCGGCCUCCCAGCCGCCUACCGGGUUUACUCGGUUUGGCCUGUUGGGCGUCUUUGGGAUCCAAAAGGAUGAAGAAAAAUGAAGUAUGAAAAUUUUUUCUCUUUUCUGACCUCCUUUCCCAUCUGGCGUUGCCACCUCACCCAAACCCUUUAAUCUAACUGAUCUGAACUUUUAGUUGAACUAAAACUUUUUCGGAAGUUUUUUUACAACGACUUACAACAAAUAACAACUCUUAACAACGGAUAUCUUGGUUCUC